UAAACGAUUGAAGGCAGUCUUUGAUAGAGCUCCAGACCUUGCCACGGCUAAGGCAAAUUGUCCAAAUAGGAUUAGUGUUCAAACUUGGGAGAAACUAUGUGAUCAAUUUCAUUCUAUUUCCACUCCUGGUGUUGAUGGGAAGUCCAAAUCAACCAAAUGCAAGGACUCGCGAAAGAAAGUCUCGACAGACCACCAUUGGGGUCGAACAAGUAUCAAUAGUUGGUCCCACAAUCAUUUUAAAAAAUUGGGCAAAAAUCCUACGGUGUUUGAUACGUAUAUGAAAGCAUAUAUGGG